CGGAGGAUCCAAGCGUUAUCCGGAAUCAUUGGGUUAAAGGGUCCGUAGGCGGUUUGAUAAGUCAGUGGUGAAAGCCCAUCGCUCAACGAUGGAACGGCCAUUGAUACUGUCAGACUUGAAUUACUGGGAAGUAACUAGAAUAUGUAGUGUAGCGGUGAAAUGCUUAGAUAUUACAUGGAAUACCAAUUGCGAAGGCAGGUUACUACCAGUGGAUUGACGCUGAUGGACGAAAGCGUGGGGAGCGAACAGGAUUAGAUACCCUGGUAGUCCACGCCGUAAACGAUGGAUACUAGCUGUUCGGAGCAAUCUGAGUGGCUAAGCGAAAGUGAUAAGUAUCCCACCUGGGGAGUACGUUCGCAAGAAUG
rnacentral:rRNA from 1 species